GACGAACGCUGGCGGCGUGCUUAACACAUGCAAGUCGAACGGAAAGGCCCUGCUUUUGUGGGGUGCUCGAGUGGCGAACGGGUGAGUAACACGUGAGUAACCUGCCCUUGACUUUGGGAUAACUUCAGGAAACUGGGCUAAUACCGGAUAGGAGCUCCUGCUGCCUGGUGGGGGUUGGAAAGUUUCGGCGGUUGGGGAUGGACUCGCGGCUUAUCAGCUUGUUGGUGGGGUAGUGGCUUACCAAGGCUUUGACGGGUAGCCGGCCUGAGAGGGUGACCGGCCACAUUGGGACUGAGAUACGGCCCAGACUCCUACGGGAGGCAGCAGUGGGGAAUAUUGCACAAUGGGCGGAAGCCUGAUGCAGCAACGCCGCGUGCGGGAUGACGGCCUUCGGGUUGUAAACCGCUUUCGCCUGUGACGAAGCGUGAGUGACGGUAAUGGGUAAAGAAGCACCGGCUAACUACGUG
rnacentral:rRNA from 1 species